GUUUCUAUAUGUAACUUCUGAGUAAAACCAUAAAUAAAUCAAAACUUUCAACAACGGAUCUCUUGGUUCUGGCAUCGAUGAAGAACGCAGCAAAAUGCGAUAAGUAAUGUGAAUUGCAGAAUUCAGUGAAUCAUCGAAUCUUUGAACGCACAUUGCGCCCGCCAGUAUUCUGGCGGGCAUGCCUGUUCGAGCGUCAUUUCAACCCUCAAGCACAGCUUGGUGUUGGGACUCGCGUUAAUUCGCGUUCCUCAAAUUGAUUGGCGGUCACGUCGAGCUUCCAUAGCGUAGUAGUAAAACCCUCGUUACUGGUAAUCGUCGCGGCCACGCCGUUAAACCCCAACUUCUGAAUGUUGACCUCGGAUCAGGUAGGAAUACCCGCUGAACUUAAGCAUAUCAAUAAGCGGAGGAA
rnacentral:rRNA from 1 species